AGGGGCGUAGUGCCUUAGGGCCGUAAGAGCGCAGGGGCAUUGGGGCGUAGAGGCCACCUGCCUGCCUGCCUCAGAGUGCCCAGAAGGUGGGAGGGACAGGUGGCUUGCUGGUUUGCUGGAGUGAACAUGUAUGUUCUAGCUCUAUAUUGAGUGAAGAUACCUCAGACUCUGAGAUGGAUACGGCAUUUGUCGCUGCCUCGAUGCCUUUGCUGCGUGAAGAAGAGAAUGAAUUUCUUCGGAGAUGCUCCAGGAAUCAAGGCUACAAGGUGGAACAACUCAGAAAUACCCAUGGCCUUCUGGAACCGUACUUCCCUCUGACUCCCUUUCCUCCUCCCCUUGGUAAUUCACCAUCCCACCUAACCUGCUGCUCUCCGUUUUGUACUCAGCAAUGGUCUCAGCUUUAUUCCUCCGCUUCCCCACCUUAAUAAAUUUCGGGUACAACAUGACAUUAAACUCUUCUUCUGUUGUCUUCACCUCCGUGCCCAUUUCUUUGGACAAGAGUCCUCUCCCCAUCCCACAGACCCCUUUGCCCAAUUCCAAUAUGCUCCCUCCACUUGGACUCCUCCCUCUGGCCUUUUACUUACACUUGAACUGUUCAUUGAGAACUAUCGACAUGACAUCGGUCAUCUCAAUUUUUUUCCCCCUUUCACCCAAUCCAACCUAUCUCCCUCCAAAGUGACUGCACUCUGUGUGCCUAGAUCCA